CAUGGCUCAGAUUGAACGCUGGCGGCAGGCCUAACACAUGCAAGUCGAACGGUAACAGGAAACAGCUUGCUGUUUCGCUGACGAGUGGCGGACGGGUGAGUAAUGUCUGGGAAACUGCCUGAUGGAGGGGGAUAACUACUGGAAACGGUAGCUAAUACCGCAUAACGUCGCAAGACCAAAGAGGGGGACCUUCGGGCCUCUUGCCAUCGGAUGUGCCCAGAUGGGAUUAGCUUGUUGGUGGGGUAACGGCUCACCAAGGCGACGAUCCCUAGCUGGUCUGAGAGGAUGACCAGCCACACUGGAACUGAGACACGGUCCAGACUCCUACGGGAGGCAGCAGUGGGGAAUAUUGCACAAUGGGCGCAAGCCUGAUGCAGCCAUGCCGCGUGUAUGAAGAAGGCCUUCGGGUUGUAAAGUACUUUCAGCGGGGAGGAAGGGAGUAAAGUUAAUACCUUUGCUCAUUGACGUUACCCGCAGAAGAAGCACCGGCUAACUCCGUGCCAGCAGCCGCGGUAAUACGGAGGGUGCAAGCGUUAAUCGGAAUUACUGGGCGUAAAGCGCACGCAGGCGGUUUGUUAAGUCAGAUGUGAAAUCCCCGGGCUCAACCUGGGAACUGCAUCUGAUACUGGCAAGCUUGAGUCUCGUAGAGGGGGGUAGAAUUCCAGGUGUAGCGGUGAAAUGCGUAGAGAUCUGGAGGAAUACCGGUGGCGAAGGCGGCCCCCUGGACGAAGACUGACCU
rnacentral:rRNA from 1 species